GACGUGCCCCUAUAGGUCGAUCAAGUUCUAGAUUCCUACCUCUUUGUCCUAUAGGUAGUCGGAGAUACUCAGGUUCAGGUUGUUUCUGCCUAGCUUCUUCUAAUACCACUAUUCUCUCAUCCAUGGUUUUCAUAAAAUUUUUUAUGUCAUCAAACUUUUCAAUCAGAGCAUUAAUGAUGGCUGCUAUAUUGGGAUCCAUAUUGGUGUUG
rnacentral:lncRNA from 1 species